rnacentral:rRNA from 2 species
UACGAAGGGAGCUAGCGUUGUUCGGAAUCACUGGGCGUAAAGCGCACGUAGGCGGAUGUGUCAGUCAGGGGUGAAAUCCCGGAGCUCAACUUCGGAACUGCCUUUGAUACAGCACAUCUGGAGUCCGGAAGAGGUGGGUGGAAUUCCUAGUGUAGAGGUGAAAUUCGUAGAUAUUAGGAAGAACACCGGUGGCGAAGGCGGCCCACUGGUCCGGUACUGACGCUGAGGUGCGAAAGCGUGGGGAGCAAACAGG